rnacentral:rRNA from 1 species
AGCGGCGGACGGGUGAGUAACACGUGGGUAACCUGCCCAAGAGACUGGGAUAACACCUGGAAACAGAUGCUAAUACCGGAUAACAACACUAGACGCAUGUCUAGAGUUUGAAAGAUGGUUCUGCUAUCACUCUUGGAUGGACCUGCGGUGCAUUAGCUAGUUGGUAAGGUAACGGCUUACCAAGGCAAUGAUGCAUAGCCGAGUUGAGAGACUGAUCGGCCACAUUGGGACUGAGACACGGCCCAAACUCCUACGGGAGGCAGCAGUAGGGAAUCUUCCACAAUGGACGAAAGUCUGAUGGAGCAACGCCGCGUGAGUGAAGAAGGGUUUCGGCUCGUAAAGCUCUGUUGGUAGUGAAGAAAGAUAGAGGUAGUAACUGGCCUUUAUUUGUCGGUAAUUACUUAGAAAGUCACGGCUAACUACGUGCCAGCAGCCGCGGUAAUACGUAGGUGGCAAGCGUUGCCCGGAUUUAUUGGGCGUAAAGCGAGUGCAGGCGGUUCAAUAAGUCUGAUGUGAAAGCCUUCGGCUCAACCGGAGAAUUGCAUCAGAAACUGUUGAACUUGAGUGCAGAAGAGGAGAGUGGAACUCCAUGUGUAGCGGUGGAAUGCGUAGAUAUAUGGAAGAACACCAGUGGCGAAGGCGGCUCUCUGGUCUGCAACUGACGCUGAGGCUCGAAAGCAUGGGUAGCGAACAGGAUUAGAUACCCUGGUAGUCCAUGCCGUAAACGAUGAGUGCUAAGUGU